UUAGUUAAAGCCAAAGAGAGGCAUACCACUGUUAAUGGUACGAUUGAAUUUAUAUUCUAACUAAG
rnacentral:tRNA from 1 species